AUACGUAGGGGGCGAGCGUUGUCCGGAAUGAUUGGGCGUAAAGGGCGCGUAGGCGGCCCGGUAAGUCUGGAGUGAAAGUCCUGUUUUUAAGAUGGGAAUUGCUUUGGAUACUGUCGGGCUUGAGUGCAGGAGAGGUAAGUGGAAUUCCCAGUGUAGCGGUGAAAUGCGUAGAGAUUGGGAGGAACACCAGUGGCGAAGGCGACUUACUGGACUGUAACUGACGCUGAGGCGCGAAAGUGUGGGGAGCAAACAGGAUUAGAUACCCUGGCAGUCCACACUGUAAACGAUGAAUGCUAGGUGUAGGGGGUAUCGACCCCUUCUGUGCCGCAGUCAACACAAUAAGCAUUCCGCUUGGGGAGUACGGCCGCAAGGUUGAAACUCAAAUGAAUUGACGGGG
rnacentral:rRNA from 1 species